GGUCGAAACGCCCCUCGGGGCGUCUGCCGGUGGGGCCGGCACUGAUGAGACCGAUGGAG
rnacentral:hammerhead_ribozyme from 1 species